CCUGUUUCUUAGUGUAUGUAUGUCAUAUGUCUGAGACAAACAGAAGAGAAUAAUUGUGAAGUGGAAGAAAAAUGAUUCAUGUUUUUUUUAUUGUGUUGCUAUUUCACAUUCCUGUAUCUAACUUACUCUGUUGACACAUGUAAAGCCACCAUGUAUAGGUUAUGUUACUUGCACUCCAAAACCAAGGAAUGAAGACAGGACAUUACGUUUCCAAACUUAUAAUCAUAAACAUUAAAGUUUAAUGACUUCUACACCAAUCAUGUUUAGAUCAAAUAACACGAUGCCACCUGAUUUUAUUCAAAGAUUUCCACAGAAACAUAAGAGGGGCAAUAAAUAUACAUCAGAUAUAUGUUGCCAACCAAACAUGAAGGCGUGUAAAUCUCAGUCUGUACCAUCAUUUCUUUGAACAGUAUUGAGUGAAGAGUCAGAAACGGUUAAAGCCAUAAGGCAACUCCAUGGAAAAUAACAGACAGACCUGAUAUUCACCAGACUCAAAGAGAAGAAGAAAACGGGACAUCAAUCGAGCUCUGACGUUAACGCAGCUUUAAGGCGCUUCAUACUGAGCUUUUAAACAUUUCCAUUCAGCAGAAGCGUCAUCUUCAUUUUUUUCCCUCCCCUUUCAUUUUUAUAUAUUUCAACUAUUCAGACAGAAACACGACAGCACAACUGGCUGGAGCGAUCUAAUAGUCGAAGAAAUUAAGCCUGAAGAGAAAAUCAUACCUGAGCAACUAAAGCAUCGGCAUUACCUCUUUGGAAACGUCUGUCCGAGACGAGAACGAGUCUUAUCUAAAUUGCUUUUAAGAGCUGGAGGAAGUGAACCUCGGGGGGGGGAAGACGGAAUCACGUACUCAUGUAGAAGAAAAUACAGCUUAUGGGGAAAAAACCCAGAUAUGAUACAAAACUGGAGAACUAACCUUUUAAAAUAACUAACUUUAUAUUUCAUGGUGCAUAUUUUCUUCUGAUUAAGCAGAGCAACACACCACGGAUUAGAAAAGUGACUCAGUUAACACUUGUUACAGCCGUUCUGCCUUCAUCAUGAGGAGUUUCUUCCUCCAGGAUUUCUCACUGCUGACCAUGUAGCAGAAUGGUGAAACCAGCAGCAGGAAUAAAGCCGAGCAGAGGGUCGAGCUGUAAGUGCAGCGUCGUGGUGUCCGGCGUCCGGUCAGUGGGUGACCCAGUAAUGAAAUGUGAUUCAGGUGGUAGAUGGAUAUCUGGAGUGAAACAUCCCCCCCCGCCCUGCGCUGACUGGCUGCAGCCCAGACGUCGCCUUGCGCCCGCUCCCGCUGUAAAGUGUGAUCUGCGGCGUUUGGCCUUUUGUCUGGGACAAUUAUGUUCACCAUUAACAAGCUUCCUUCUGUUAUUGUUCAUAUCAAUUAGGGCUGGAUGGUAAUUUGAGCUGAUGGUGGAGCCGGCGCCGGGAGAUGCCGGCCUGAUGUGGAGAGUGUAUUUUAGGGGGAGGGGAGCAAUUAAAGCAGCAAUAAAGCAUUUUGUUCAGUUUAUUGGUGGUGUGGGUGUGUGUGUGUGUGUGWGU